UACGGAGGGUGCGAGCGUUGUUCGGAAUCACUGGGCGUAAAGCGCGUGUAGGCGGCCCACUAAGUCUGAUGUGAAAGCCCGAGGCUCACCCUCGGAAGUGCAUUGGAAACUGGUGGACUAGAGUCCCGGAGAGGAGAGUGGAAUUCCUGGUGUAGCGGUGAAAUGCGUAGAUAUCAGGAGGAACACCGGUGGCGAAGGCGGCUCUCUGGACGGUGACUGACGCUGAGACGCGAAAGCGUGGGGAGCAAACAGG
rnacentral:rRNA from 1 species